UACGUAGGUGGCAAGCGUUGUCCGGAUUUACUGGGCGUAAAGAGCGCGCAGGCGGUCGUUCAAGUCGCGUGUGAAGGCCCCCGGCUCAACUGGGGAGGGUCACGCGAUACUGAUCGACUCGAAGGCAGGAGAGGGAAGUGGAAUUCCCGGUGUAGUGGUGAAAUGCGUAGAUAUCGGGAGGAACACCAGUGGCGAAGGCAAUCCCCUGGACCUGUACCGACGCUCAUGCACGAAAGCGUGGGGAGCAAACAGG
rnacentral:rRNA from 1 species